rnacentral:misc_RNA from 1 species
GAUGAAGAACGUAGCGAAAUGCGAUAAGUAAUGCGAAUUGCAGAAUUUCCGUGAGUCAUCGAAUCUUUGAACGCACAUUGCACCUCUCGGUAUUCCGGGAGGUAUGCCUGUUCGAGCGUCAUUUGUACCCUCAAGCUCUGCUUGGUGUUGGGUGUUUGUUCCGCCUCUGUGUGUGAACUCGCCUCAAAACAAUUGGCAGCCGGCGUACUUGUUUCGGAGCGCAGCACAUUUUGCGAUCCAGAUCAACGUACAGCGGCAUCCAAGAAGCCUUAUUUAACGCUCUUGACCUCGGAUCAGGUAGGGAUACCCGCUGAACUUAAGCAUAUCAAUAAGCGGAGGA